CGAAAGGGUGCGUAACACGUGGGUAAUUUGCCGUGAAGUUGGGGAUAACUCGCUGAAAGGCGAGCUAAUACCGAAUGUGGCCUAACAAGGCUAAAGUUGGGGACCGUAAGGCCUGACGCUUCAUGAUAAGCCCGCGGCCUAUCAGCUAGUUGGUGAGGUAACGGCUCACCAAGGCUAAGACGGGUAGCUGGUCUGAGAGGACGACCAGCCUCACUGGAACUGAGACACGGUCCAGACACCUACGGGUGGCAGCAGUCGAGAAUUUUUCUCAAUGGGGGAAACCCUGAAGGAGCGACGCCGCGUGGGGGAUGAAUGGCUUCGGCCCGUAAACCCCUGUCAUUUGCGAACAAACCUUUCGGUUUAAUAGACCGAAAGCUGAUAGUAGCGAAAGAGGAAGGGACGGCUAACUCUGUGCCAGCAGCC
rnacentral:rRNA from 1 species